GGUGGUGCAUGGUUGUCGUCAGCUCGUGUCGUGAGAUGUGGGUUAAGUCCCGUAACGAGCGCAACCCUUGUCUUCAGUUGCCAGCACGUAAAGGUGGGAACUCUGAAGAUACUGCCCCGGUUAACGGGGAGGAAGUGGGGAUGACGUCAAGUCCUCAUGGCCCUUAUGCCCAGGGCUACACACGUGCUACAAUGGCAUAUACAAAGGGUCGCGAUACCGCGAGGUGGAGCCAAUCCCAUAAAGUAUGCCACAGUUCGGAUUGGAGUCUGCAACUCGACUCCAUGAAGUUGGAAUCGCUAGUAAUCGCAGAUCAGCAUGCUGCGGUGAAUACGUUCCCGGGCCUU
rnacentral:rRNA from 1 species